AUUGAACGCUGGCGGCAGGCCUAACACAUGCAAGUCGAACGGUAACAGGAGACAGCUUGCUGUUUCGCUGACGAGUGGCGGACGGGUGAGUAAUAUCUGGGAAACUGCCUGAUGGAGGGGGAUAACUACUGGAAACGGUAGCUAAUACCGCAUAACGUCGCAAGACCAAAGAGGGGGACCCUCGGGCCUCUUGCCCUCGGAUGUGCCCAGAUGGGAUUAGCUUGUUGGUGGGGUAACGGCUCACCAAGGCGACGAUCCCUAGCUGGUCUGAGAGGAUGACCAGCCACACUGGAACUGAGACACGGUCCAGACUCCUACGGGAGGCAGCAGUGGGGAAUAUUGCACAAUGGGCGCAAGCCUGAUGCAGCCAUGCCGCGUGUAUGAAGAAGGCCUUCGGGUUGUAAAGUACUUUCAGCGGGGAGGAAGGGAGUAAAGUUAAUACCUUUGCUCAUUGACGUUACCCGCAGAAGAAGCACCGGCUAACUCCGUG
rnacentral:rRNA from 1 species